rnacentral:lncRNA from 1 species
GAUGAAUGCUGCUUCGAUGCAAAUCAACCAGAGGGAAGAAAAUGCAAACUGAAACCUGGGAAACAGUGCAGUCCAAGUCAAGGUCCUUGUUGUACAGCACAGUGUGCAUUCAAGUCAAAGUCUGAGAAGUGUCGGGAUGAUUCAGACUGUGCAAGGGAAGGAAUAUGUAAUGGCUUCACAGCUCUCUGCCCAGCAUCUGACCCUAAACCAAACUUCACAGACUGUAAUAGGCAUACACAAGUGUGCAUUAAUGGGCAAUGUGCAGGUUCUAUCUGUGAGAAAUAUGGCUUAGAGGAGUGUACGUGUGCCAGUUCUGAUGGCAAAGAUGAUAAAGAAUUAUGCCAUGUAUGCUGUAUGAAGAAAAGUAAGGCUUUUAAAAACACAAGAGUAUAAAAUUUGCCUCAAACUAUUAUUUUCUCCUAAAUUUUAAGUGUAA